rnacentral:lncRNA from 1 species
CCCAAAGCCACAUCGCCAUAGCAUAUACAAGAGAAAUCUCCAAUUUUCGGGAUCAUAAGCUUUCUGAAUGUCAAGCUUACAUAGCAUUCCAGGAACACCCAGGCGCAGUCUUGAGUCAAUGCAUUCGUUUGCUAUAAGUACUGAAUCCAAAAUCUGGCGUCCUUUAACGAAAGCAUUCUGAAACUUGGACACCACUUUUCCCAACACCUCCUUCAAUCUAUUUGCCAAAAUCUUCGCAAUAAUCUUGUAGACACCGCUCACAAGGCUAAUAGGACGAAAGUCUUUAAUAUCCGUCGCUCUCGAUUUCUUUGGAAUCAGCACAAUAAAUGUAGCAUUGACACUUCUCAAGAACCUUCCACAUUGAAAGAAAUAAGAAAGGACUUCGACAAUGUCCGAUCGAACCACUUCCCAACAAGUCUUAUAAAACGAGAAUGAAAAUCCGUCCGGUCCUGGCACUUUAUCAUCAUUCACGCUGAACACCACCUCCCUAGUUUUAUCCUCCCCAAAAGGCCUCUCUAACCAGCUAGCUUCCUCCUCAGAUAUAGAAGAAAACUCAAGCCCUUCCAAUUCUGGCCUCCAGUCAAACUGCUCCUGAUACAAGUUCUGAUAGAAGCUUACCAUCUGGGUCCCGAUCUCCUGUGGAUCCUCAAAGGUAACGCCAUCUACCUUCAACAUAUUAAUAGAAUUGUUGCGCCUAUUGGAGUUCGCAACCCUAUGGAAAAAGCGGGUGCAUUUGUCUCCCUCUUUCAACCACUUGAUCCUAGAUUUCUGAUGCCAAGUAAUCUCCUCCAUCUCCACCAACCUCUCCAAUUCUUCCCUUAAUUCUCCUCAUCUCAUCCUCUCUUCCCCUGUCAGUCCUCUACUUUCCUCCCUCCUAUCUAGCUCCUCAAUGAUCGAUAAGCAUUGAUUUUUGCGAUGGUUAACAUCUCCCACCACUUCCUCAUUCCACCUCUUUAGAUCUCUUUUCAACACCUUCAAUUUGCAAUCCAACACAUAACUGGGAGAUCUCCUGAAGUCAUAAGACGUCCACCAAGUCCGUACUCAUUCCCCAAAACCACCUACCUUAAGCCACAUUUUUUCAAACCUAAAAGGUUUUUUUUCCAGCACGCCUCACAUUCCCAGAUAACGAUAUAAGGAAAUGAUCAGAAUACAGUCUCUCCAUUCUCCUUCGAAUGACCUCUGGAUACUUAGCCUCUCAAGCUCCACAUACCAAAAAUCGAUCUAUUCGGGAUAGGAUAGGUUGAUCCCGACUAGAAGACCAAGUAAAGUCUCCCCCAAUCAUAGGCAGAUCCACCGGCGUGUUCUCCCUGAUAAAAUCUGAAAAGUCCUCCAUAGCCCUUGUUAAUCUCCCCCUACUAGACCUCUCAGUAGGAAAACGAAUUACAUUAAAAUCUCCCC